rnacentral:lncRNA from 1 species
UGGGGCUCAGCCUCUGAGGACAAUGCCGCCAGCGCCAGAGCCAGCCUUGUCAGCUCCUCCGAUGGCUCCUUCCUCGCUGAUGCUCACUUUGCCCGGGCCCUGGCAGUGGCUGUGGAUAGCUUUGGUUUCGGUCUAGAGCCCAGGGAGGCAGACUGCGUCUUCAUAGAUGCCUCAUCACCUCCCUCCCCACGGGAUGAGAUCUUCCUGACCCCCAACCUCUCCCUGCCCCUGUGGGAGUGGAGGCCAGACUGGUUGGAAGACAUGGAGGUCAGCCACACCCAGCGGCUGGGAAGGGGGAUGCCUCCCUGGCCCCCUGACUCUCGGAUCUCUUCCCAGAGAAGUCAGCUCCACUGUCGUAUGCCCAAGGCUGGUGCUUCUCCUGUAGAUUACUCCUGAACCGUGUCCCUGAGACUUCCCAGACGGGAAUCAGAACCACUUCUCCUGUCCACCCACAAGACCUGGGCUGUGGUGUGUGGGUCUUGGCCUGUGUUUCUCUGCAGCUGGGGUCCACCUUCCCAAGCCUCCAGAGAGUUCUCCCUCCACGAUUGUGAAAACAAAUGAAAACAAAAUUAGAGCAAAGCUGACCUGGAGCCCUCAGGGAGCAAAACAUCAUCUCCACCUGACUCCUAGCCACUGCUUUCUCCUCUGUGCCAUCCACUCCCACCACCAGGUCGUUUUGGCCUGAGGAGCAGCCCUGCCUGCUGCUCUCCCCCCACCAUUUGGAUCACAGGAAGUGGAGGAGCCAGAGGUGCCUUUGUGGAGGACAGCAGUGGCUGCUGGGAGAGGGCUGUGGAGGAAGGAGCUUCUCGGAGCCCCCUCUCAGCCUUACCUGGGCCCCUCCUCUAGAGAAGAGCUCAACUCUCUCCCAACCUCACCAUGGAAAGAAAAUAAUUAUGAAUGCCACUGAGGCACUGAGGCCCUACCUCAUGCCAAACAAAGGGUUCAAGGCUGGGUCUAGCGAGGAUGCUGAAGGAAGGGAGGUAUGAGACCGUAGGUCAAAAGCACCAUCCUCGUACUGUUGUCACUAUGAGCUUAAGAAAUUUGAUACCAUAAAAUGGUAAAGACUUGGGUUCUGUGAGAUCAUUCCCCGGAGCACCAUUUUUAGGGGAGCACCUGGAGAGAUGGCAAGAAUUUCCUGAGUUAGGCAGGGAUCAGGCAUUCAUUGACACUCAGGGAGUGUCACACAUUUCUGUUCUGCAAUUAAAGGGACAAUGAGGUUCAUCCACCAAAUUUUAAGCAGAAUAUAGGAAGGGCAGGGGUGGGGAGUUUCAGGGUCUGCUGGUCCUGGCAACUUAUAUUAAAUCCACCUCCUCAAGAUAAGCCUUAGGGAUAUUUAUGGCUGAGGGAAGUGGGAUGGCCUAAGGCAUGGGGAAGGGUGAUUGGCUGUGGGGAAAAUGAAGUAAUA